rnacentral:tRNA from 1 species
AGCAGGAUAGAGCAGUCUGGAAGCUCGCCGGGCCCAUAACCCGGAGGUCGAGGGUUCGAGUCCUUCUCCUGCAA